UUGAGGAGGCGGUGACCAUGGCGGUAUAGGUGGAAGCAGCGGUGGAGUAGGAGGAUGAGGUAGCCAACACUGUUUUAUAUAAAUAUAUAUAUAUAUUUUAUUUUUUUAAUUUGGGUAACCCCCAAACUAUUGGGACAUAUAAAAAAAGACAACUCUGUUCUGCAGAGUAGCUGUUGACAUUAUAGUUGUGCAGGCACUUUGUUGACUCUAGAGAACCUCGAGCCAAUCGCACAUCCCCGUGACGGCGACUUUGCAUUCAGAUGUCAUCCAUAUCAACUUUCGAUGCCAGUUUCUGGGCCCUGGUGACUACGGGUAACAGGGAAUCAGGGUUCCAUUCCGUACAGGCACCCUGAGAAAUGGCUACCACAUGCAAUGAAGGCAGCAGGUGCGCAAAUUACCCAUUCCCGACGCGGGAAGGUAGUGACGACAAAUAACAAUACAGGACUCUUUAGAGGCCCUGUAAUUGUAAUGAGUCCACUUGAAAUCCUUUAACUCUGAUCAAUUGGAGGAAAGUCUGGUGCAGGGCCACUGACCCGUGCGUGCUGCAGCUGAAACUCCACU